rnacentral:rRNA from 1 species
UACGGGGGGGGGUAAGCGUUGUUCGGAAUUACUGGGCGUAAAGGGCUCGUAGGCGGCCAACUAAGUCAGACGUGAAAUCCCUCAGCUUAACUGGGGAACUGCGUCUGAUACUGGAUGGCUUGGAUUUGGGGAGAGGGAUGCGGAAUUCCAGGUGUAGCGGUGAAAUGCGUAGAUAUCGGGAGGAACACCGGUGGCGAAGGCGGCGACCUGGGUAGAUACUGACGCUGAGGCGCGAAAGCGUGGGGAGCAAACAGG